rnacentral:rRNA from 1 species
UUAAAUUGAAGAGUUUGAUCAUGGCUCAGAUUGAACGCUGGCGGCAGGCCUAACACAUGCAAGUCGAACGGUAACAGGAAACAGCUUGCUGUUUCGCUGACGAGUGGCGGACGGGUGAGUAAUGUCUGGGAAACUGCCUGAUGGAGGGGGAUAACUACUGGAAACGGUAGCUAAUACCGCAUAAUGUCGCAAGACCAAAGAGGGGGACCUUCGGGCCUCUUGCCAUCGGAUGUGCCCAGAUGGGAUUAGCUAGUAGGUGGGGUAACGGCUCACCUAGGCGACGAUCCCUAGCUGGUCUGAGAGGAUGACCAGCCACACUGGAACUGAGACACGGUCCAGACUCCUACGGGAGGCAGCAGUGGGGAAUAUUGCACAAUGGGCGCAAGCCUGAUGCAGCCAUGCCGCGUGUAUGAAGAAGGCCUUCGGGUUGUAAAGUACUUUCAGCGGGGAGGAAGGGAGUAAAGUUAAUACCUUUACUCAUUGACGUUACCCGCAGAAGAAGCACCGGCUAACUCCGUGCCAGCAGCCGCGGUAAUACGGAGGGUGCAAGCGUUAAUCGGAAUUACUGGGCGUAAAGCGCACGCAGGCGGUUUGUUAAGUCAGAUGUGAAAUCCCCGGGCUCAACCUGGGAACUGCAUCUGAUACUGGCAAGCUUGAGUCUCGUAGAGGGGGGUAGAAUUCCAGGUGUAGCGGUGAAAUGCGUAGAGAUCUGGAGGAAUACCGGUGGCGAAGGCGGCCCCCUGGACGAAGACUGACGCUCAGGUGCGAAAGCGUGGGGAGCAAACAGGAUUAGAUACCCUGGUAGUCCACGCCGUAAACGAUGUCGACUUGGAGGUUGUGCCCUUGAGGCGUGGCUUCCGGAGCUAACGCGUUAAGUCGACCGCCUGGGGAGUACGGCCGCAAGGUUAAAACUCAAAUGAAUUGACGGGGGCCCGCACAAGCGGUGGAGCAUGUGGUUUAAUUCGAUGCAACGCGAAGAACCUUACCUGGUCUUGACAUCCACAGAACUUUCCAGAGAUGGAUUGGUGCCUUCGGGAACUGUGAGACAGGUGCUGCAUGGCUGUCGUCAGCUCGUGUUGUGAAAUGUUGGGUUAAGUCCCGCAACGAGCGCAACCCUUAUCCUUUGUUGCCAGCGGUCCGGCCGGGAACUCAAAGGAGACUGCCAGUGAUAAACUGGAGGAAGGUGGGGAUGACGUCAAGUCAUCAUGGCCCUUACGACCAGGGCUACACACGUGCUACAAUGGCGCAUACAAAGAGAAGCGACCUCGCGAGAGCAAGCGGACCUCAUAAAGUGCGUCGUAGUCCGGAUUGGAGUCUGCAACUCGACUCCAUGAAGUCGGAAUCGCUAGUAAUCGUGGAUCAGAAUGCCACGGUGAAUACGUUCCCGGGCCUUGUACACACCGCCCGUCACACCAUGGGAGUGGGUUGCAAAAGAAGUAGGUAGCUUAACCUUCGGGAGGGCGCUUACCACUUUGUGAUUCAUGACUGGGGUGAAGUCGUAACAAGGUAACCGUAGGGGAACCUGCGGUUGGAUCACCUCCUUACCUUAAAGAA